UACCAGCACCCCGAGUGGUCGGGACGAUUAUUGGGCCUAAAGCAUCCGUAGCCGGUCAUGCAAGUCUUCCGUUAAAUCCAGCCGCUCAACGGUUGGGCUGCGGAGGAUACUACGUGGCUAGGAGGCGGGAGAGGCAAGCGGUACUCAGUGGGUAGGGGUAAAAUCCUUUGAUCCAUUGAAGACCACCAGUGGCGAAGGCGGCUUGCCAGAACGCGCUCGACGGUGAGGGAUGAAAGCUGGGGGAGCAAACGGG
rnacentral:rRNA from 1 species